rnacentral:misc_RNA from 1 species
GAAAUGCGAUAAGUAGUGUGAAUUGCAGAAUUCAGUGAAUCAUCGAAUCUUUGAACGCACAUUGCGCCCCUUGGUAUUCCAUGGGGCAUGCCUGUUCGAGCGUCAUCUACACCCUCAAGCUCUGCUUGGUGUUGGGCGUCUGUCCCGCCUACGUGCGCGGACUCGCCCCAAAUUCAUUGGCAGCGGUCCUUGCCUCCUCUCGCGCAGCACAUUGCGCUUCUCGAGGUGUUGCGGCCCGCGUCCAGAAAGCAAUCGUUACCGUCUUUGACCUCGGAUCAGGUAGGGAUACCCGCUGAACUUAAGC